CUUUUCACUUUAGGGACUCUAGUCCAGCCACGUCUUCUUAGGGAACGUAUAACUGUUUUUCUCUCAAAUAUCACCAGUUUGCCUCUCCCAUAGGCUACUUGUAGACUCUCACAAAAAAAAAAAAUCUGUUUACUCUAUCGCUCUGGCAGAUCCAUAAAGUAUUGGCUGUUUCUUUCUACGGGUAGGAUGCCAAAUGGUGCUUCCACAAUAAACUGAUGCUCUUCUUCACCGUAAUAAACGCUAUCGGACGCUGCCUAGCCUUUGGCAACAGUACAAUAUCUUCUGAUCCCAUACACAGUCGGACGCCACAGGCUUAAUCUUGCCUCUACUUUCCUCCUUUGCCGAUCCGCACAUUGUCCGACCUAGCUCCUCUUCCUCCACUCAUCAGUUCAACGUCUUCUCACAAGAUGAAUUUAGAGUUUGCUCCAGCCUCGAUAUUUUAUUGAUUUGCGUCCACACACCCCCGGUCAAACUGAUCAAUUGUGCAUUACAAGUUGGGGCUCAACAGCAUAGCUGCCGUUACGCCGUAUGAAAGCGGCAUUCUCAAUCUCGGCAUUAGAGGCUACUAGAUGUGUUCGACUAAAUUCACAGAAAAAGGCGGAAUACAUGCUUUUUAUCCAGGCUUUGGCGCAUAAUAAGGUAUGUUUAGUUUGAGGAUUUUUUUGCUUCAUCCUUCUUUUGGUUUUUGCAAAUUUGGUGCAAUUUUCUAUUUAAUACUAUAUUCAGGUCCCACGUUUGUCGGGAUCCUCCCAAUAUGUAACUGGCCAGAAAUAAUAUGUGCAUGAAAAGCUCAAGCAACAGGUCUCCAAGGACUAGAAGGAUUGGAGAUGUGGCCGGGUUGUCGGGCAAACCUUCACGUCCUCCUUGGAUGUGAUCCGAAGAGAGAUGCGGAUGCAUGCUACAAGUCAUCAUGAUAUUAAUCUCAACCUAAUUUUCUCAAUCUUUGGUUCAUCUCAUCCUUGGACCUAGCGAUUCACCCAAUUGAAGAAAAGCGUGCUUAUAUUAGCUGGUGAGCCCACUGCCUAGAAAAUAAGCUGGACGCUACAGGAUAUCAAAUAUACUUUGCAUGAAAAACUAAUGUGAAAUUCGAGCUGAUCUACGGUCUUACCAUCUUAUGUUUGAUUUAUCUGGGUCAAGAAUAAGGUGCAUGAGAAUUUUGGUAUAACAGCACCAUGUAGGCGCUAAUUAACUUCUAUCGCUCGUGACCAAGGAUGGAGGCAACUCUACGUGGGCUUGACCAUCAAUUAUAUCAGGGAACAUAUGUUGCAUACAAGGAGCUGUACAAGUUGAUUUCUUGAUAAUUUUUAUUGUGUAGGUUGUUUCUUUGGCGGUCGUUGAAUUUACAGCCUACGAUGUAGUCAAGUUAUGGCUAUAGUUUUCAUAGAUGGACUGAUACCUUGACUCACCUUGUGAUCAAUUCCAAACGGCAGAGCGGUAUCUCACUUGAUAUAUAUCCUCAAGACAAGAACAUUUAUGUUCUCCUCACAUUCUCAAGACAAGAACAAUUAUGUUCUCAUCAUAGAAACGUUGGAACCUUUGAUGCUUUAGCUAUAUAUAAUAUAAGCCUAAAUGCUGGUUUUGGCUGAGAAAAAUUUACUAUAGAUUUUUUUCACUUAGAUGUAAUCAAAUUGUUUGCAGUGUUCUUUGAGAAAUUGGAAGCAAUCAAUCAACAUGUCUGUUCCCUAGAA